AUUGUUAUAUUUUAAUGACACUUUUUUUUAAAUGAACGUGAAAUAAAGGUAUUUUCAGAUUUAAAAAACCUGGCUGGGCACGGUGGCUCAUGUCUGUAAUGUCAGCACUUUGGGAGGCCAAGGUGCGCAGAUCACGAGGUCAGGAGUGCAAGAUCAGCCUGGCUAACAUAGUGAAACCCAUCUCUACUAAAAACACAAAAAACUUUAGCCAGGCAUGGUGGUGCACACCAUGGGUGUAGUCCCAGCUACUCAGGAGGCUGAGGUAGGAGAAUCGCUUGAACCUGGGAAGGGGAGGUUGCAGUGAACCAAGAAAGUACUAAAAGCUGAAAGCAGCACCUGUAUUACUAUCUGGGGAUAUUUUCUUUAAU
rnacentral:lncRNA from 1 species